rnacentral:rRNA from 1 species
GUCGACCGCCUGGGGAGUACGGCGCAAGGUUAAAACUCAAAUGAAUUGUCGGGGGCCCGCACAAGCGGUGGAGCAUGUGGUUUAAUUCGAUGCAACGCGAAGAACCUUCCCUACUCUUGACAUCCAGAGAACUUAGCAGAGAUGCUUUGGUGCCUUCGGGAACUCUGAGACCCCCGAUGCAUGGCUGUCGUCAGAUAGAGUUGUGAAAUGUUAAGUUAAGUCCCGCAACGAGCGCAACCCUUAUCCUUUGUUGCCAGCGGUUCGGCCGGGAACUCAAAGGAGACUGCCAGUGAUAAACUGGAGGAAGGUGGGGAUGACGUCAAGUCAUCAUGGCCCUUACGAGUAGGGCUACACACGUGCUCCAAUGGCAUAUACAAAGAGAAGCGACCUCGCGAGACCAAGCGGACCUCAUAAAGUAUGUCGUAGUCCGGAUCGGAGUCUGCAACUCGACUCCGUGAAGUCGGAAUCGCUAGUAAUCGUGGAUCAGAAUGCCACGGUGAAUACGUUCCCGGGCCUUUGUUGGCGCCGCCCGUCCCCCCAUGGGAGUGGGUCGCACCCCCCCUUUUUUAGCUUAACCUUCGGGAGGGCGCUUCCCACCUUGUGAUUCAGGACUGGGGGAAGGUCUUCACCAAAGGAACCUUACG